CCUACGGGAGGCUGCAGUGGGGAAUAUUGCACAAUGGGGGAAACCCUGAUGCAGCGACGCCGCGUGAGCGAUGAAGUAUUUCGGUAUGUAAAGCUCUAUCUGCAGGGAAGAAAAUGACGGUACCUGACUAAGAAUCCCCGUCUAACUACGUGCCGGCAGCCGCGGUAAUAUGCAGGGGGCCAGCGUUAUCCGGAUGUACCGGGUGUAAAGGGAGUGUAGACGGUUUGGCAAGCACGCUGUGAAAGGCUGGGGCUCAACCCCAGGAGUGCAUUUGGAACUGUAAUGCUAGAGUGUGGGGGAGGCAGGCGGAAUUCCUGGUGUAGCGGUGAAAUGCGUAGAUAUUAGGAGGAACACCGGUGGCGAAGGCGGCCUGCUGGACGAUGACUGACGUUGAGGCUCGAAAGCGUGGGGAGCAAACAGGAUUAGAUACCCCAGUAGUC
rnacentral:rRNA from 1 species